rnacentral:rRNA from 1 species
UACGGAGGGAGCAAGCGUUACUCGGAAUUACUGGGCGUAAAGCGCACGUAGGCGGUCAGGCAAGUCGGGUGUGAAAGCCCUGGGCUCAACCUGGGAAUUGCAUUCGAAACUAUCUGACUCGAGUAUGGGAGAGGGAAGCGGAAUUUCCGGUGUAGCGGUGAAAUGCGUAGAUAUCGGAAGGAACACCAGUGGCGAAGGCGGCUUCCUGGACUAAUACUGACGCUGAGGUGCGAAAGCGUGGGGAGCAAACAGG